rnacentral:rRNA from 1 species
AACGAACGCUGGCGGCAGGCCUAACACAUGCAAGUCGAGCGCGCCCGUCGGGGGCAGCGGCGGUCGGGUGAGUAACGCGUCGGAACGUGCCCUUUUCUAUGGAAGAGACUCUGGACACUGAGAGUAACACCGCAUACGCCACGCGGGGGAAAGAUUUAUCGGAAAAGGAACGGCCCGCGUUGGAUUAGGAAGUUGGUGGGGGAAUGGCCUACCAAGCCGACGAUCGAUAGCUGGUUGGAGGGGAUGAUCCGCCACACUGGGACUGAGACACGGCCCGGACUCCUGCGGGAGGCAGCAGUGGGGAAUCUUAGACAAUGGGGGCAACCAUGAACUAGCCAUGCCGCGUAAGUGAUGAAGGCAUUAGGGUUGUAAAGCACUUUCAGCUGGGAAGAUACUGACGGUACCAGCAGAAGAAGCCCCGGCUAACUCCGUG